UUUGUACGCUUGAAAUUUCUGCUCAUUCCAUUACAAUAAAGGACAAAAAAAUUUCAAGAGAGCACAUGCUUCUAGUUUCAAACUCCAUGGAGGCCCAGAAUAGCUUGCUGCAUUUUUUCCUGUAUACUAAGGAGAAAUAUUGCAUGCUUCUUCCCAAACCUGAAGUAUAUAUAAGAUUUGUGCAAAUAAUGGCUUCAAUUCCUCUUUCUUUUUCUAAAGAAAUGUUACAACAUUAAGAAACAGAAAAUAGUAUUUAAAUUUUAAAAAUAAAGGGAAAACACUUAAAUGAUAUUAGAAAAAAAACUUUUAAAAAAAAAGCAGUAUCCAUUUUCUUUACUAGUUAUACACUCUCUAGAAUUGCAGGCAAAGUUCUUACAGGUGCCUUCAAACAACACUCUAACAUGGUAUUGUACUUUUAUUAUAAAUUCCAUAUUGAACACUGCCUUGUUCCUUGAGUGGAAAAUUUCCCUCAGAUCUCCUUGGUCAGUAAUACUAUGCUCUAUAAACCUAGACCAUGCUUGAUUCUAAAAAGAAAUGUAGCUGACCUAUAAAUAAUGUCAUUGUACUUGUUUUUUUGGAGAUGAUUGACUACCAUAUUCAACACUGUUAUAGUUAAUAAAGACAUGGUUUUGCAAUAGUGAUUUGAAAACACAGUUGAUCCUUGAACAAUUCAGGGGUUAGGAGUACCAAUUAUCCCCCUUUUCCAACCAAAAAUCCAAAUAUCUCUGCAUCAAAUGACUUAUCCAAAAGCAGGAAGCUAAAACAGUUUGGAUAGAAUCAAGACUCGAGGUUGCUCUCAGUCCAUGUAUUGUGAUUCCUGGGCUUCCCAGCUGGUGCUGGUGGUAAAGAACCUGCUUGCCAACUCAGGAGACAUAGAAGACCUGGGUUCAAUCCCUGGAUUGGGAAGAUACCCUUGAGGAGGGCAUGGCAAAGCACUCUAGUAUUCUUGCCUAGAGAAUCCCAUAGACAGAAGAGCCUGGUGGGCUAGAGUCCACAGGAUCACAGUCAGACACGAGUGAAGCAACUUAGCACACAUACGCAGUGUGAUUCCCUAAUCAAACACAAAUUUUUCCCCACACUUAAAGAUUUGUAAAAUAAGAUUAUAGAUGCUAAUUCUACUGAAAAACAAAACAAAACACACACAUAAAAGUGAACUUAUGCUGUACAAACCCAUGUUGUUCAAGGGUUAUCUGUAGUAUUCUACUGUCAAUAAUAUUGGGGGGAAAAGCAUGUUUUCCAAUUAUGUUGCAAUCUUACGCAUAAAUGGUUUCAGUUUCAUGAUAUUUACUAUAUAUUUU
rnacentral:lncRNA from 1 species